rfam:Otolemur garnettii contig165980, whole genome shotgun sequence.
GCUGGGCCUUGUGGCGGGUGCCUGUAAUCCCAGCUACUUGGGAGGCUGAGGCAGGAGAAUCGCUUGAGCCCAGGAGUUGGAGGUUGCUGUGAGCUGUGAUGCCACAGCACUCUACCCAGGGCAACAGCUUGAGGCUCAGUCUCAAAAAAAAAAAAGUGAGACUCUGUCUCAAAACAAAUAAAUAAAAGAGACAGAGUCUCAUUAUGUCUCCCUGGGUAGAGUGCAGUGAUGUCACAGCUCACAGCAAUCUCCAACUCUUGGGUUUAAGCAAUUCUCUUGCCUU